UAACUACUUGCAAAUUCGAGCAUUUCUGCAUCUCCCCGGUAGAAACGCACCUUUAACAUUUCCUGGUUGUGAGCAAACCACAAUAUGCAGAAUUUAUAGCAAUAGCAAACAACGUUGAGAAUGGGUGUCAACAGGUAGCUAACGUUACUUGCUGGACCAACCACUCGUUCAUAGUACAUCAGCUUGCGAAGCACUAUUUAUUUUCGUGUCGACAACAACUGCAAAGUUUAGUCGUGAAUUGGUGCUCAGUACCUUGGAUGUGCAAACUACAAGCAUGCACAGACUGCUGGGGUAACGUUUCAUUGAUUACCUUACUAAGGUGUCGAGUAGAGAGUCCGAUACAAUCAAGAUCUGCAACAGCAUCAACAGCAAGCUCAGCACCAGGAACUAGUGUUACGGCCCUACUACACUCCAGCCAUCGGACGUCCGGCCUGCCAUCAACCAUUGAGGGAACGCUUCCUUUGAAAUCAAUGAAAGCUGCUAUACUGCCCACGUUACGUCACACCCAAUAGAUAGAUUAGCUGUCAACAUCACAAUAGUGAUACGCUCGCUUUAAAUGGGGCAGAAGUCCGUGUUGUUGUGAUUCUGGAUGGCCAGAUAGCUAGCAAGAAAGACAAGAAUCUACCAUGUAGGGAAUCGUAGGUGGCUCAUUUCAGCUAGUUUUAUCUUGUUCUUGAUACUAUGUCUUGUUUUGAAGUGUUUUGACUGAUGUCACGUCUAUGCUAACAUGGCAAAACAAUUGCUGGCCAGCUAACCAACAAUUGUAACAAUGUAUUUGAGAGACAAUAAGUGCUCAUUGCGCAAAUGUAUUUAUGUUUUCAAUAAACAUUGGAGACGAAAUCUUUACAUGUUGUCAACAAUCUAAGACAACCCUGUCUAUUUGGCCCCAUAGCGCACGCGUUGGAUUCUAUCUUGUCUACAGCAGCGUCCACGGUCAAGAAUCGAGGUUACAAUUCUCGAUGGAUGACGCGUGCGUUCAUUCUAUCUUGUGAAUGGAAAAAAAUAGAUUUUGGUUGGUUUCUGGUGUAGCAGAUAGAACGUCACAUUGAUACAAUGCUGAUUGCAAUGCGGGUAGUGUAGCUGACUUAUAAGUCACCUUUGCUAAGUCUUUCCAUGACUCAAUGGUGAGCAAAUACAUAUACUGGAGCUUGGCAUCAACAUGGUCCGUGUCUUGAUGUCAUAGUUGGUGUGUUUAUAAGUAGGCUACAACUUCUGUUGUUCUCUCUGUAUGGAGGCUUAGUUGAUUGUUUAUGCUUGAAGUCUAAAUUGGAGAAAAGCAGAGUAAGGAUGGGAUGGUGUGGGUGACUGACUGGUGUCUGUUGGGGAUGGGUAUUGUGUGUGAAGGUUAGUAUGCAUGACUAUUGACACAAGGGGGAUAGGUAUAUAUAGUACCUUGUUUCAGUGUGUAUUGAUGGGGACAAAGUAGUAAAAUGUUGGCUAAUCACUGACUACUGCUGAUGAUUACCUUGACACCAGUUUCAACCGUAGAUUAUUUAGACCCAUUGGAUGAGACUUUCAGCAGGGAACAAGUUCAAGAUCAACAUCAUCUGACUCAGAAGAGACUGCACGGGGCUGGCAAGAGACAAAAAGUGUCUGAGUCCAAGGUCAUGGAACUCAUGAAGUUCUGCCAGACCAGCUGCCACAGCUGCCAGACCAGCUGCCAACACAAGAUGAGGUUCACCAGCCGAAGAACAUUUUGCCAACACCUCAUACAUAUUCAGUUAGACUGAUGUUGUAAUGUAAUAUAGAACGUUGUUGCCCAACACUGGUCCUCAAGCACCCCCAACAGUACAUGCUUGUAUUUUAACCCUGGACAAGCACACCUGAUUCAACUAAUCAUCAAGCCCUCAAUGAGUUGAAUGAGAUGUGUUUGCCAUGGGCUACAACAAAACUGUAAUGUUGGGGGUACCCAAGGACCAGGGUUGGGAAACACUGAUAUAAAAAGCCUAGUAUACUCACAACUGCAUUGUAGUAUAGAUAUUGCUAACUGUACAUAAUGGUGUUUUAUAUAAUAUUUGUUACAAGUGUACUGACAAGUGACUAAAUGGUUCCAGCUGCAUGAGAAACCAAUAAAGUGUUGACUUCAACUUUUGGA